UGAUGCAAAUUUUCUUCAUCGGGGAUACAA
rnacentral:piRNA from 1 species